UACGGGGGGGGCAAGCGUUGUUCGGAAUUACUGGGCGUAAAGGGCUCGUAGGUGGCCAACUAAGUCAGACGUGAAAUCCCUCGGCUUAACCGGGGAACUGCGUCUGAUACUGGAUGGCUUGAGUUCGGGAGAGGGAUGCGGAAUUCCAGGUGUAGCGGUGAAAUGCGUAGAUAUCUGGAGGAACACCGGUGGCGAAGGCGGCAUCCUGGACCGACACUGACGCUGAGGAGCGAAAGCCAGGGGAGCAAACGGG
rnacentral:rRNA from 1 species